rnacentral:rRNA from 1 species
GAUGAACGCUGGCGGCGUGCCUAAUACAUGCAAGUCGAGCGAACAGACGAGGAGCUUGCUCCUCUGACGUUAGCGGCGGACGGGUGAGUAACACGUGGAUAACCUACCUAUAAGACUGGGAUAACUUCGGGAAACCGGAGCUAAUACCGGAUAAUAUAUUGAACCGCAUGGUUCAAUAGUGAAAGACGGUGUUGCUGUCACUUAUAGAUGGAUCCGCGCCGCAUUAGCUAGUUGGUAAGGUAACGGCUUACCAAGGCAACGAUGCGUAGCCGACCUGAGAGGGUGAUCGGCCACACUGGAACUGAGACACGGUCCAGACUCCUACGGGAGGCAGCAGUAGGGAAUCUUCCGCAAUGGGCGAAAGCCUGACGGAGCAACGCCGCGUGAGUGAUGAAGGUCUUCGGAUCGUAAAACUCUGUUAUUAGGGAAGAACAAAUGUGUAAGUAACUAUGCACGUCUUGACGGUACCUAAUCAGAAAGCCACGGCUAACUACGUG